rnacentral:rRNA from 1 species
AAAGAAACCAACAGGGAUUGCCCUAGUAACGGCGAGUGAAGCGGCAACAGCUCAAAUUUGAAAUCUGGCGUAAGCCCGAGUUGUAAUUUGUAGAGGAUGCUUCGGGGUAGCGGCCGGUCUAAGUUCCUUGGAACAGGACGUCAUAGAGGGUGAGAAUCCCGUACGUGACUGGCUUGCACCCUCCACGUAGCUCCUUCGACGAGUCGAGUUGUUUGGGAAUGCAGCUCUAAAUGGGAGGUAAAUUUCUUCUAAAGCUAAAUACCGGCCAGAGACCGAUAGCGCACAAGUAGAGUGAUCGAAAGAUGAAAAGCACUUUGGAAAGAGAGUUAAAAAGCACGUGAAAUUGUUGAAAGGGAAGCGCCCGCAACCAGACUUUGCGGCGGUGUUCGGCCGGUCUUCUGACCGGUUUACUCGCCGCCGUGAGGCCAUCAUCGUCUAGGACCGCUGGAUAAGACCCGAGGAAUGUAGCUCCCUUCGGGGUGUGUUAUAGCCUCGGGUGAUGCAGCGCGUCCCGGGCGAGGUCCGCGCUUCGGCAAGGAUGAUGGCGUAAUGGUUGUCGGCGGCCCGUCUUGA